UCGAAACUCUAAUUGGUUGAAUGAAAAGCCCUAAUCUGUACGAUAAAAAAAAAUCCUGAUUUGUUUGAUUAAAAGCCCUAAUUUGCUAUCCUUUAUUGACUGAAAACUGAAAAGACCUAGUUUGUUUGACAAAUGAUUUAGCUUAAAUUUUUUUCUAGAGCACAUGCACCUUGAAUUAAAGAAGUUAUAAGCUAAAACUUGCUUCGGAAUUUGGAACUACAAGCUACUAAAAUUAGUGCUCAAAAAUAGAGAAUGCACAUUGAUGUGUAACUGUUAAGUUUGUAAUGUCAAUUUUUGAAAAUUAUAUACCACGAGAGAGUGCAUAUCUGAAUAUGUGUAGCAAUGUUCUGGAUAUUUUUUGCUUGCAAGUAUAUUCUUUUACAUUAGAAAAAGAAGAGAAUAAGUAAUAUUCUUUUAUUCACUGAACUAUUUCUAAUAAUUUCACUAUUACAACGAACACUCAAAAUUCUUUCAAAUUCUUUACUCCAUUUUUUUUUCCUUUGAGUCACUUUAUCAUUUUCAUGUCGAUAGACUAUUUUGAAAGUGAAAAAAAUUUAUGAACACGUGCAAUGCAUGUGCACUAUGUUGCUUUUAUUAAACUCAUAUGUAAAAAUGUAACCAAAAUUUUUAAAAUUUAUAUUAAAAUAUGUAAUUAAAUUAAGUAUAUGAAAUUCCAACUUAAACUCAUUUCUUAUAAAAUUUUCUAGUGUGAUCAAUCUUUCAUAAACAUUAAAUUUAUCCAACUGUCAUCAAUUUGUGCCGCAAUUAUUUGUACAUGCAAAUAAUUAUGAUUUUUAAUUUUUAUUUAUUUUGAUUCAUAUAGAACAUGCAUUUAUGAUCUUAAAUUCAUAAAAUACAAUCCAACCAUAUUAAUUUUUAUACAUUAGCAUGAAUUAAUCUACAAUUUAAAUAUCGUAAAAAACACGCAUUUCACAUCAUAUCGUUCAUGUAAAGAAAAACAAUAACACAAAACCAUAAAUUAUGAUAAAAAUUAAAUUUAGACACUUAAAAGUAAAUCACAACAUAGUUCAGUCAUAACAGCAUAGGAUUGAAGCAAUCUUAUACCAUUAGUAUAUACUUUGUGACAUGUUUUUGAAGAAUAUCCUUAGUAAACCAAGCCCACCCUUUAAACGUCCUAAAGGCCGCGUUUUUUACUCCGACUCUAAACGACUCGACCCGACUCGAUUUUUGCCUCCUGAGAGGGAGCACUGCACAGUCUGGACCCAAAACCCUAUAAUUUAAUAUGCACCCCCCGUCUUUGAUUCUUGAGAUCCCUCCAAAAAACCAAGAAAACCAAAAAAAGAGGAAAAAAGGAAAAAUUGUUAUUAGUAUUCUUCGUCUUCACGGUGCUGAUGUUCAAUUAUUAUUUUUUGGUUCUUGAAUUUUUGGUUAUAUGUCCAUGGGGUCUAAGCCGUGAACAAGAAGCAUAAGCCUCUACAGAGAAAAUCAAAUCAACACCCAGUUUCUUCAUGUAACCUUACAAUAGAAAUGAUACCCCCAGAUCUGAUUGCGAAGAUGAGAAAAAAUUGUGCGACACUUGUUAACAAUGUUACACAGCCUGGAUCCGCACUUGCUAAUUCAGCCUCCACUGUUGUCUUCAUAAAACAUUCUAUGAACAAACACCACGUUUUAUAUUAACCUCCCUUCAGAAGGAUGCCCCAACUUGAGAUUUAAUACAUAAAAAUAUGUAUAGAUUUCUUUGAUACAUAUUGUCAAAAAUGUAAUGAUAUUCUCACGAAACUUCACAGAGAGAAUACAGACAAGUUUUUGCUAGAUCUGGAACAAGUCAUUGGGGGUCAAUAUAGGUAUUCAGGCUUAUGAUGAUGGCACCAACAAGAACUUCGCGGUAGUAAUUUUAUAUUUCACUUAACGAUUUGAGUUAAUCUCAUAUCCGCCUGAGAAGGAGUUUGUAAAUUACACGAGUAAUAAUGAAUUUUUUUCCCUUUUUUAAUACCCCUUUUUUCCCCUCUGUGGAACCUUUAAUUUUUCGGGAAAAGUGGUCAUUAUUACUCGUGCAGCUUACAAACUCCUUCUCAAGCGGACAUGAGAUUAACUCAAAUCGUAAGGUGAAAUAUAAAAUUACUAUCGCAAAGUUCUUGUUGAUGCCAUUAUCAUAAGCCUGAAUACCUACAUUGACCCCCAAUGGCUUGUUCCAGGUCAAACGAAAACUUGCUUGCAUUCUCUAUGAAGUUUCGUGAGACUAUCAUUGUAUUUUUGACCAUAGAUAUCAAAGAGAUCUAUACAUGUCUUUAUGUAUUGGAUCUCAGGUUGCGGCACCCUUCUAAAGAAAGAUUGAUAUAAAAUAUGGUGUUUGUCCAUGGAAUGUUUCAUGUAGACAACAAUCGAGGCUGAAUUAGCAACUGCGGAUCUAGGCAGUGUAAUAUUUCAUCCAGAAGAAGAUGAUGGCCUUGUCUGUAUCUCUGUGAAAACUGAUGCGCUUAAGGAGGCAAUUCUUGGAACUCUUUCAAGGAAUCGUACCCAGAUGAUAUUUGGCUUUGGUUUAUGUUUCGAUAAAAGUUUUAAGUUGUCUCACACCUCCAACAAAGCUACCGUCCAUUUUUUCGGUUCUUCCGAUGCUCAGCCACAGAGAUAUCCUUUAUAAUUUGCUUUCUGCAUCAAGAACUUGUGAUGUUUUUUUAUUAGAUAUUGUCUUUCCUCGACUUUUAUGUUCCUAUUCCACACCCGUCUGGGACAUCAUUGAUUCCGGUGAGGAACUUAAUUUUUUUUCUCUUUACACCGCUAUACUUUUCUUUUCGAGUCUCAUCAUAUUUUGCAGUUAGGUGCUAUAUGCAAUUUGUAUUCUGAUUUUUACCUGUAUGUUGCUGCACAUCCGUACAUUGCUUUCAUUAACUUGUUAUUUUUGUUUUAUCCAUUAUUGUGACAAUUUCAAGUUUUCUUUUGAAACGUGACAUCUAUGUUGCAUUGGUUCUUCUAUCCUACGCUUCACAUCUACUCGGAUCCUUGAAUAUAUGCAUAAAAAUUCAUAUGUGUAAUCAAUUGUAUGUCCUACAUUUGGCAUCAAAUUCCUGAAACUUGUUGGAAUAAGGCCAGGUGCGUCUCAGCCCAUAUUCAGUUUAAAGUUAUGAUUUUAAAUGAUUAUUUUCAUAUUUACUUGAGAACUAUGAGGUGAUGUGCUUCAAUUGUGUCCUCGUACCUUGCCAUUUACAAAUUUGUCAUGCCCUGUCCCUGCACCCGUACUUGUGUCCAUGCAGUUUAGCAUGCCAUUCUUCAACCUUCAUACUUAAGACUAUACUGUUCUGCAGUUGAAUGUCCAUUUAGGGUUUUUUUUUGAUAUUAGUCCCUUAAAUCAUUAGCAUUUUGAUAUUAGUCCCUCAAAUCUUCAUAUUUUGAUAUUGGUCCUUUAAAAACCGUUAGUGUGUGGAUAUGAGUCUUGUUUGUUGGUGUUAUAAUGUUAGGUGAAUAUUCUGUUAACUCUGAACAUUUUUGCGUGGAUUGACCUCUGAUUAUAAACCCAAACCCAUUACCUAUUUAACUCAUACCCAACUACAAUCCUAAAAAUUUGCAGCAAUAAACUAAAGUGGCGUAGGUUCAAACCAGCAACAAUACAGGGGUUUAGCUGCAAAUAAGCUUAUUCUGAAUGUGCUACUUCUGCUGGAGCCUUUCUUUUGUGUAAAUUCCUCCAGUGACUUGUUAAAUGAGUAAUGCUUGACGUCAUGUGAUCCGGUUUCCUUUCAUCUGUUUGUUCAAGGAACUGAGCAGGAUUUUUAUGUGAAGUGAAAUGAAUCUGUCGUAAUUUGAGGUGGCGUUUGUGCCCGCUU